UACGUAGGGGGCAAGCGUUGUCCGGAAUUAUUGGGCGUAAAGCGCGCGCAGGCGGUUCUUUAAGUCUUGUGUUUAAUCCCGGGGCUCAACCUCGGUUCGCAUGGGAAACUGGGGAACUGGAGUGCAGGAGAGGAAAGUGGAAUUCCACGUGUAGCGGUGAAAUGCGUAGAGAUCGGGAGGAACACCUGUGGCGAAGGCGGCCGACUGGGCCGACCCUGACGCUGAGGCGCGAAGGCGUGGGGAGCGAACGGG
rnacentral:rRNA from 1 species